GCUGACACUCCGUAGACCCGGAGGCUCCAAGGACGCCGGCGCAGGGCCGCCCGUCCCUAAGAGGGUCUCUCCGUCAGAACGCGGCUCUCGUUUAAAAUGAUGUCGGUGAUUCUUCGGAGCGUUCCCUUCAGGGCGCCCUGAGAGCGUUCCCAAUCACGCAGACAAACGUCUGGGGAAGCGCCGGUUUUGAGCGUCUCUAAAGUAUUGGCAGUUGCACGUAAAGUGAAGGGAGUUUCUGCGUGUGGAAAAAUACCGUUAACUGAGAUCCAAGCGGUGUGCCUGCAUGUUACAGUACGGAGCACACCGGAUCCAUGCUUCUGAGAUCUUGAGCGCAAGUAAUAUGGACUGAUCAACAGGCCACAGCUUCCGCAACUCCAAGGUUUUAAAUAAUGAGAAGAUCUACUGCUUGUUUGUAUAACAAUCAACAGUUUAUUAAUGGAUAUGGUGAAAUUUUAGCUAUCCACCAAGAGAUGUGUAAAAAAUUGUCAUGAAAGUAAAAAUAAAUAAAGCCAUUUUUAAAAUCAG